CCCUAGCCCUACCUCCAGACCAAUUGCGGCCAGCCCUGGCUGGGACCUGGGGACCCAGAGUAGGCUGAACUUGGGGCUCGGGAUGUUUGAAUGUCUCCCAAAUUGCGGUCCUGCCCCUAAGAGGCAAAGAGAGGUGCGGAGUGCUUGCGCGAGCGCUUACAACGCUUACGUCGCUAGGAGCUCUCUUCUGGGAUAAUCAAGAGUUGGGCUGAGCCGGAUCCUCUUUUAGCAGCAGAGGGCUCAGCAGCCCCAGGGGCGCGCGGGACCCAGCGGCUGCACUGGAACAGUCCGUGCGGGUCGCGCCGAACCACCGCUUGGGCGCACAAAGGUAAAGGCGGCCACAGCCUUCGUGGCCUGCUUCGUCCCGGCGUUCCCAUCCCCUCCCUUCUUCCUGUCUCGAAGGCGAAAAUGGCUGGGCCGGGCGAGGACCUGGGGCAUCAGAGGUCCUAGCUCUGCCGGUCCCCACCCUUCCUGCUGACAGAGGCGGGCUGUCCUUGGUUGAGGUGGCCGAGGCUGCUCCCCGGUGAAUCCUCAGGCGGGUCGCAGCCACCAUCUCUCUCGGCUUGCUCCAUCCCUUUGAGAGGAGUUGAUGGUGUUGUCGCCCCCACGGCCGCUACGGAAGCCAGGGCUGAUGGAUGCAGGGGAGUGCCGCAUUGCUUAGCGUCUCUGCCUCUUGGUUUGCUGGUAGGAACUGACUACUCUUUCUUCUUUCUGGCUUGGGGUGGGGGCGUUAUAGGAAAAAUAGAGACAUUUUUAUUUCAUCAACUCCCAGCACCCACCCCGGUUUGACAUCUUUGCUCCCAAAGAGGUUUCCUCCUGUCCUUAUCAUUAUCCUCCACUUCCUUGGCAAGUCUCCAGAAAUAAAGGGAGAGACUAGGCAGAAGUUGGGGGCGGGGGUGAGGGUGAGCCCACGCCCCUGUCAACGGUACCCAAAACCCAGCUGGAGCCUUAUGAGAUCACGGUGUGUGGAAGAGGUGCACUAUCUGCGUCUCCCCUAAUUGGAUCGUAAUAACCUAAAGUAAAAAAAAAAAAAAAAA
rnacentral:lncRNA from 1 species